rnacentral:lncRNA from 1 species
AGGGGUUCAGUGAGGACUUUUCGUUGUUGUUUAUGAGUUGCAUAAGGUUCUAUUUAUAAGGUAUUGGAGUGAAAUGAGGGGGAAACGAGAUUUGGUUAGGGAAUGAAUUUGGGGGGAGGGAGUUGGGGAUCUGCGUGAGAGGUACGAGGAUUGAGAUGAAUCCGUGUGAGUUGAGUGGAUAAUAUGUUAAUGAAACGUAUAUGUAUGGAUGGAUUGUUUGAUGAUGGUUUGUGAGAUGAU